rnacentral:rRNA from 1 species
ACGUAGGGAGCGAGCGUUGUCCGGAAUUACUGGGCGUAAAGGGCGCGUAGGCGGGGAUUUAAGUAAGGUGUGAAAACUAUGGGCUCAACCCAUAGACUGCACUUUAAACUGGAUUUCUUGAGGGCAGGAGAGGAAAGUGGAAUUCCUAGUGUAGCGGUGAAAUGCGUAGAUAUUAGGAGGAACACCAGUGGCGAAGGCGACUUUCUGGACUGUACCUGACGCUGAGGCGCGAAAGCGUGGGGAGCAAACAG